UGGGGUCCAAAAAGUAAUUGGUAGUCCGUCUUAAUGUUGUUUUUAAAAAAGGAGAUCCCCAUGAUUCCGACGUGUCCCCGCUCCGAUGUCUUCUCCCUCCUCCAAACGAUCGUGAAAAACGCUGACUUCUCUAAUCAAACUAAAACUGUCCAUAAAUAAAUACUACUCCACCGCCACCAGAAUGGCCGGCGCUCACUCUAUUAUCGCCUUCAAGCAAUCCGACGAAAGGCCCGG
rnacentral:lncRNA from 1 species